AAGAAUUAAAUGGAUGAAAUAUGAAGUUUUAUUAAAAGAAAAAGGGGUGAAAAGAACAAAGUUUUGUCCAUCUUUGUUCAUCAUAGCUGAAAGUUAGAGAAGAGAAAGGAGAGGAGAAAGCUCUUGAGUAUUCGGUCAUUAGGAGGAGGAAAAUUGAAGGAAAUCCCCAACCAUAGUGGGCUUGGAGCUAUGAGGGAAUUCGGAGUGGCCACCCGUUCUGAAAAUUUGAUUUUCUUCUGGUGAACUGGACAUCCUUUUAAUUACGUUUGAGGUUUUGGGCUUUUAAAUGUAAUAAGGCCGCUUAUUUAUUUUUGAUGGUUUUUAAUAUGUAUUACUAAGAUAGGUAAUACUUAUUUUAACUGUUGAAA